rnacentral:antisense_RNA from 1 species
CUUCAACGAGCCGAGCCACAGCGGACGGUCCUGCGGGCGGUCCUUGCCGUAGGUGGCGAUCACGGCCUGCGCUUC